rnacentral:rRNA from 1 species
AACGAACGCUGGCGGCAUGCCUAACACAUGCAAGUCGAACGAUUGCCUUCGGGUGAUAGUGGCGCACGGGUGCGUAACGCGUGGGAAUCUGCCCUUAGGUUCGGAAUAACAGCUGGAAACGGCUGCUAAUACCGGAUGAUAUCGCGAGAUCAAAGAUUUAUCGCCUGAGGAUGAGCCCGCGUUGGAUUAGGUAGUUGGUGGGGUAAAGGCCUACCAAGCCGACGAUCCAUAGCUGGUCUGAGAGGAUGAUCAGCCACACUGGGACUGAGACACGGCCCAGACUCCUACGGGAGGCAGCAGUGGGGAAUAUUGGACGAUGGGCGCAAGCCUGAUCCAGCAAUGCCGCGUGAGUGAUGAAGGCCCUAGGGUUGUAAAGCUCUUUUACCCGGGAAGAUAAUGACUGUACCGGGAGAAUAAGCCCCGGCUAACUCCGUG